CCAAUAGCGUAUAUUAAAGUUGUUGCAGUUAAAAAGCUCGUAGUUGAAUUUCGGGAUCAGUUGGUCGGUCGUGCCUCGGUACGUACUGGUCAAAUUGAUUCCUACCUUCUGACGAACCACGAUGUCAUUAAUUUGGUGUCGCGGGGAAUCAGGACUGUUACUUUGAAAAAAUUAGUGUGUUUAAAGCAGGCUCGCGCUUG
rnacentral:rRNA from 1 species